rnacentral:rRNA from 1 species
ACACGACUACAUUAGAUACCCGUGUAGUCCUAGCCGUAAACGAUACUCGCUAGGUGUCGGCCACGGUGCGACCGUUGUCGGUGCCGUAGGGAAGCCGUGAAGCGAGCCACCUGGGAAGUACGGCCGCAAGGCUGAAACUUAAAGGAAUUGGCGGGGAGCGCCACAACGGGUGGAGCUUGCGGUUUAAUUGGAUUCAACGCCGGAAAUCUUACCGGGACCGACAGCAACAUGAAGGCCAGGCUGAAGACUUUGCCGGAUUAGCUG